ensembl:lncRNA
GCUGUGGUGGGUGUGUUGAGGUUAGGUGUGGUGAUGUUUGGUGAGGUGUGGUGUGGUGAGGUGAGGUGUGGUGAGGUGUGGUGUGGUGAGGUGAGGUGAGGUGAGGUGUGGUGAGGUGAGGUGUGGUGUUUUGAGGUGAGGUGUGGUGAGGUGAGGUGUAGUGGGGUGAGGUGAGGUGUGGUGAGGUGGGCUGUGGUGAGGUUCGGUAAGGUGAGCUGUGUGUUGUGGUGAGCUGAGCUGUGGUGAGGUGAGCUGUGGUGACGUGAGGUGUGGUAAGAUGUGGUGAGGUGAGAGAGUUGAGGUUUGGUAAGGUGAGGUAAGGUGUGGUAAGGUGUAGUGAGGUGAGGCAAUUAGAAGUGUGGUAU